GACGAACCGUGCGAACGUUGUUCGGAAUCACUGGGCUUAAAGGGUGCUUAGGCGGGUUGUCCAGUCUGGGGUGAAAUCCCACGGCUCAACCGUGGAAUUGCCUCAGAUACUGACGACCUCGAGGGAGGUAGGGGCGAGCGGAACUGUGGGUGGAGCGGUGAAAUGCGUUGAUAUCCACAGGAACUCCGGUGGCGAAGGAGGCUCGCGGGACCUCUUCUGACGCUGAGGCACGAAAGCUAGGGGAGCAAACCGG
rnacentral:rRNA from 1 species